GGCGACGUAGCUCAGCUGGUUAGAGCGGCGGAAUCAUAAUCCGUAGGUCCGGGGUUCGAGUCCCUGCGUCGCCACCA
rnacentral:tRNA from 3 species